CAGUAGCCGCGGUAAUACGGAGGGUGCAAGCGUUAAUCGGAAUUACUGGGCGUAAAGCGCACGCAGGCGGUCUGUCAAGUCAGAUGUGAAAUCCCCGGGCUUAACCUGGGAACUGCAUUUGAAACUGGCAGGCUAGAGUCUUGUAGAGGGGGGUAGAAUUCCAGGUGUAGCGGUGAAAUGCGUAGAGAUCUGGAGGAAUACCGGUGGCGAAGGCGGCCCCCUGGGCCUGUACUGACGCUCAUGCACGAAAGCGUGGGGAGCAAACAGGAUUAGAUACCCCUGUAGUCCCUGUCUCUUAUAU
rnacentral:rRNA from 1 species